GAGAAACUUCAUUCAGUGUCUGUAAUUGUAUAAAAUUGAGUUAAGACCAACGUGAGGGCUGUGUGACACAAGGACUGGGUGUUCUUGCGUUUCAUGUGGUGCUUCAGAGGCGCACUCCAUCACAGCACAACAAGAAGAGGGUAGUUCCUCUUUCACAAGAUGGCUGCCUCAAAAUGAAGAAAAACGCAUAUGCCUCUGCCACUCUGGAAGGCAAGAGAAACAGAUGACUGACAUGUGUGCCCUACAAGAUUUCAGAAUCUAGGGGGAUGCUUUGUGCUAGGACAGCAAAGCCUGACCAUGUACACUACCUGGCAGAAGUGUCCAUUCAAUGCUGCCACGCUGCCCUAGAACAUGCGGCCCUGGUUCCUUUACUGUGGGCAGUAGAAGGAUGAGGUCCAAACUGGCACAAGAAUGCAGCAAUCACUGUAGUGUGGGGAAAAAAUGGAACAAACACAGCUAAAACAAUCAUGUUUCCUGACACUGUCCAUAAUCAAACUAUAAUGCAUAUCUAAUACAAACACAGUAAAAGCAGAAAGCCAGCUGAUUAUACUCAGGAGUAAA